rnacentral:misc_RNA from 1 species
AAGUCGUAACAAGGUUUCCGUAGGUGAACCUGCGGAAGGAUCAUUACAAAUAAAGCCGGUAGGAGGUGGGGUCUUGAUCUGUAAGUGGUAGAGCGAACAGUCCGGCUGCCUCCCGAAAUGUCUUCAUGCCCCAUGCCCCAGUACUGACGUCGAAGCUAAUACCACUUGAUUAUCUACACUUGUUGCUUUGGGGUGCUCAAGUGCCCCAGAGGACCCAAAUCUCUUGCAUUUAGUGACGUCUGAGUACUAUAUAAUAUUUAAAA